rfam:Actinoplanes regularis strain DSM 43151 genome assembly, contig: Ga0170398_129
CUUGAGGGAGCCGAGCCACAGCGGUUCCCCGCCGGCCCGGUCCUGACCGUACGUCGCGAGCAGCGCCUGCGCCUC